UCCAACACUGAAGAGGAAUAUCCUUGAUGUUAUUGCUGGCCCGUGGGAUGCAGUUGGGGACUUCUGUGCCCACUUUAACAGAUGGCUGGAACCAACUUAAGGGCUUCAGGUCCCACCUCUUGGUCAAAUGAUUCAAUUUCAGGUUCCUGGCUUCCUGAGGUUUCACCAUUAUCGAAAAGUGGCAGCAAAUAGGGGACUCAGCCAUUGCCUGAUUAUCUAAGUGACUCCCAGGAAAGUAAAGCUGAAAGAACAACAUCUCCAGAGUACUAGCAUCAUAAAAGUGGAUUCAGGAGAGGAGAGCCAUUGUAGAAGAGACAUAAUGACUGGGUGAGAAAGGUGAUAAGGUAAGUCACUCACAUGUUCUGAUAUUUAAAUGGGAAACCAUACAUGACUAUUUAGAGGGAGAAGAGUCAGGGGGAGUUUGAAGCAUAUAGAUGACCAGCAGAAUGACCAGUUUGGUAUAGUCCUCUGGGCCUUUUCCACAUCUUCUCAUUAUCCUUAGGAUGGAACAAAGGUCCUAGGAUCACAAUGACACCCAAGUUAUAUUCAUCCCUACACACUGGCAGUCUGACCCUCAGUCAUUACACACCCAUUCUGACCUCAAAGUUUCUCAUGCCUCAUCCAGAAUAUUAAUAAUUCACAAAGCAAUUUCCCCAAGGCUAUGGCAGUUUGACAUAGAAAUCAAUGAUGCCCGGGCACAAGGACAGAUGGUUUUACAACUCACAGACCCGUCGGAUGGUUACAUCAUUCUUCCGGCUGUUGAUUGUUUUCUCUGAUGUCACUGCCAAGUUGCUGGAUUGAUUCAUCAGGAAACAGAGGUAAUGGUCACCUUCUUGCCAGUCUUAGACUUCCAGGAGAGAAUGGGCUGUACAACCCUCUGGCCUGUCUCCCUUGCGUUUAUCUGUUUAUUCAUGCAUGGAAUUUUUAUUCUGAGGGUAACUCAAGCAUAUAAUACUCAGAGUUUUAAUACAUUGAAAAUUGUUCCUGUUGAGAUUUUGACAAAUUAUUUUCCUGCUGGCAUUCAGUCAUGACUUUUCUGUCUUUGGCAGAAUAUUUAAAGUAGCUUCUACUGUCAGAUAGGCUAUAAACAAUCUUCAUUGUCAAGCUUCAAGGUAGUACAGUAUGCUUUUAAAAGCUCCAGGCCACCCAAUUUACUGUUUAGUGUAUGUGAUCAAUAACGGUGCUUUAUCUGCCAACUUUCCGGCGAGUUGUAGUUGUAAUGACGGUGUCAUGUAGCACUUUUCCUGGCUUGUGAAUCUUCUCGAGUCUGCAGAUGGCAGAAGCUGAAAGCAGAUGCCUGGUUGUCACUCAACAGAAGUCACACCUGCACCUCUCAUGUAGCAGUUUACAAAGCAUUUGUGCAUACCUUAUCUUUACCGAUUGUAACAGCACACACACUUGGGAGUUACUUUAGUUAAUUUUCUUUGGCUAAUGAUACAACCCUGUAGGCUGCCUAUUUUCUAGAAGUUUCUUUUGAUUCAUGGUUCUGACACAAUGUCAAGUUGUAUCAGGUGACUGGUCUUGUUGCCUGAGUCCCUGAGCAGAAGCAGGGAAUGUGUGUAGGUGUGC